rnacentral:rRNA from 1 species
UACGUAGGGUGCGAGCGUUGUCCGGAAUUAUUGGGCGUAAAGAGCUCGUAGGCGGUGUGUCACGUCGUUCGUGAAAACCUGCAGCUUAACUGUGGGCGUGCGGUCGAUACGGGCAUCACUGGAGUUCGGCAGGGGAGACUGGAAUUCCUGGUGUAGCGGUGAAAUGCGCAGAUAUCAGGAGGAACACCGGUGGCGAAGGCGGGUCUCUGGGCCGAUACUGACGCUGAGGCGCGAAAGCUAGGGGAGCAAACGGG